rnacentral:rRNA from 1 species
AUUGAACGCUGGCGGCAGGCCUAACACAUGCAAGUCGAGCGCGCGGCCGACGGGUGAGUAAUGUAUGGGAACUGCCCGCUAGAGGGGGAUAACUACUGGAAACGGUGUCUAUUACCGCAUACAGUCAGAUAACCCAUAUGGUAUUAGCUAUUAGGUAGGGUAACGGCUUACCUCGGAGACGAUCCCUAGCUGGUCUGAGAGGAUGAUCAGCCACACUGGGAAGUGGACACGGCCCAGACUCUUACGGAGGCAGCAGUGGGGAAUAUUGCACAAUGGGGGGAAGCCUGAUGCAGCCAUGCCGCGUGUAUGAAGAAGGCCCUAGGGUUGUAAAGUACGUUCAGUCGGGAGGCGUUACCGGCAGAAGAAGCACCGGCUAACUCCGUGCCAGCAGCCGCGGUAAUUC